rnacentral:rRNA from 1 species
AUACGUAGGUGGCAAGCGUUGUCCGGAAUUAUUGGGCGUAAAGCGCAUGUAGGCGGUUUGGUAAGUCGGUAGUGAAAAUGCGGUGCUUAACGCCGUGUUGCGAUCGUAACUGCUGAACUUGCGGGCAGGAGAGGAAAGGGGAACUCCCAGGGUAGCGGUGAAAUGCGUAGAUAUUGGGAAGAACACCGGUGGCGAAGGCGCCUUUCUGGACUGUGUCUGACGCUCAGAUGCGAAAGCCAGGGUAGCGAACGGGAUUAGAUCCCCCGGUAGUCCUGGCCGUAAACGAUGGGUACUAGGUGUGGGAGGUAUCGACUCCUUCCGUGCCGGAGUUAACGCAAUAAGUACCCCGCCUGGGGAGUACGGCCGCAAGGCUUAAACUCAAAGGAAUUGACGGGG